rnacentral:rRNA from 1 species
CCAGCAGCCGCGGUAAUUCCAGCUCCAAUAGCGUAUAUUAAACUUGUUGCAGUUAAAAAGCUCGUAGUUGAAUUUCUGCGUUGCCCGACUCGGCUACUUGCCUUGUCUGGUUUCGCUUUUGGGGUUUUCCCCUUUUUACUUUGAGAAAAUUAGAGUGUUUCAAGCAGACUUGUGUCUUGAAUACUUCAGCAUGGAAUAAUAAAGUAGGACUUUGGUUCUAUUUUGUUGGUUUGUGAACCUUAGUAAUGGUUAAUAGGAACGGUUGGGGGCAUUCGUAUUUAACUGUCAGAGGUGAAAUUCUUAGAUUUGUUAAAGACAAACUACUGCGAAAG